AAGUGAAUAGGUGAUGGUGUUCGCCUUUAAAUGCUAACGAAAGAUAGCUAAUGACGCCUACUAAAGU
rfam:Enterococcus faecium DO, complete genome.